rnacentral:rRNA from 1 species
UACGGGGGGAGCAAGCGUUGUUCGGAUUUACUGGGCGUAAAGGGCGCGUAGGCGGCCACCGCAAGUCGACUGUGAAAUCUCCCGGCUUAACUGGGAGGGUGCGCCGGAAACUGGGCUGCUGGAGUGCGGGAGAGGUAAGCGGAAUUCCCGGUGUAGCGGUGAAAUGCGUAGAUAUCUGGAGGAACACCGGUGGCGAAGGCGGCAUCCUGGACCAACACUGACACUGAGGAGCGAAAGCCAGGGGAGCAAACGGG